rnacentral:rRNA from 1 species
AGAGUUUGAUCCUGGCUCAGGACGAACGCUGGCGGCGUGCCUAAAACAUGCAAGUCGAACGAGGUCCAUCCAGUGGCAACACUGGUGAAGACCUAGUGGCGAACGGGUGAGUAACACGUGAGGAACCUGCCCCGAAGACCGGGAUAACCCUCCGAAAGGAGAGCUAAUACCGGAUACCCCCACCAGAUCGCAUGGUUCGGUGAGGAAAUGGAUUCCGCUUCGGGAGGGCCUCGCGGCCUAUCAGCUUGUUGGUGGGGUAACGGCCUACCAAGGCAUCGACGGGUAGCUGGUCUGAGAGGACGAUCAGCCACACUGGGACUGAGACACGGCCCAGACUCCUACGGGAGGCAGCAGUUAGGAAUCUUGCGCAAUGGGCGAAAGCCUGACGCAGCAACGCCGCGUGGGGGACGAAGGCUCUCGGGUUGUAAACCCCUUUCAGUGGGGACGAAUCAAGACGGUACCCACAGAAGAAGCCCCGGCCAACUACGUGCCAGCAGCCGCGGUAACACGUAGGGGGCAAGCGUUGUCCGGAUUUAUUGGGCGUAAAGAGCUCGUAGGCGGUUCGCUAAGUCGGGUGUGAAACCUCCAGGCUCAACCUGGAGACGCCACCCGAUACUGGUGUGACUCGAGUCCGGUAGGGGAGCGUGGAAUUCCUGGUGUAGCGGUGAAAUGCGCAGAUAUCAGGAGGAACACCAGCGGCGAAGGCGGCGCUCUGGGCCGGAACUGACGCUGAGGAGCGAAAGCGUGGGUAGCAAACAGGAUUAGAUACCCUGGUAGUCCACGCCGUAAACGUUGGGCACUAGUGUGGGGUCUUAUCAACGGAUUCCGUGCCGUAGCUAACGCAUUAAGUGCCCCGCCUGGGGAGUACGGCCGCAAGGCUAAAACUCAAAGGAAUUGACGG